UGAGAAGUCGAUCUCGACCUGUUCUCACACCCCAAAGUGGAGGUUUGUCUGCAAAGUAGAGCCUAGAGAGAGGGAGAGAGAGGGAGAGAGGGAGAGAGGGAGAGAGAGAGAAAAAAUAACUGCAAACAUCUAUCACACUGCUACAAAUUUUUGUGACGUUCUUCUUAUUCUCUCUCUCCUCCGCGCUUUCCUUUAUUGCUAGUAUCAUUAUUCCUUUUUAUUUCUCUCUCCUCCCUAACCACUUGUACCUUUCUUCAAUCACCGGUGACUGCAACUGUUCUUCACUAGGUGCCUUUUUUUUUUGUCGACAUUAUAUACUUUUCCCAUCCCCGUGGGUGGAUAUCUCGGAGUCGAAUGGCCAGUGAGUGAAGUAAGCAGCCGAUCUCGAUUCUCGACCGGUUCUCUCACACUUCGGAGGGAGGAGUUUUGAGUAUUUUCAAAAAUUUCACUCAGUUUCGCACCAAGUACAGUCUCUAGCGAACUGAACACAGAAAGAAAAAGAAGAGAGAGAGAGCGAGAGGGAUGGAGGUUAGAACUCGCGCUCCUGGGAAAAUCAUUUUUUCAGGUGAGCACGCUGUGGUCCAUGGAUCUACAGCCAUAGCAGCUUCCAUCGAUCUCUACACUCGAGUUGCUCUGCAGAUAUCGAGCGAUUCAGAGAAUGGUGAAGGCUUACUAAAACUUCAGCUCAAGGACAUGGGAUUAGAAUUUUUAUGGUCAAUCAGAAGAAUUAGGGAGAUGCUUCCUGACCUGAGUGCUCCCCUUCCCUCACAGCCAAUGGCAUGUUCCUCAGAAUCUAUGGAAUCUAUUGCUGUUCUUGUCGAGGAACAGAGUAUCCCAGAGGCAAAAGUGGGACUUGCUUCUGGAAUUUUGGCUUUCCUCUGGUUGUACACUUCAAUCCAAGGUUUGAAGCCUGCAACAAUUGUGGUCACUUCUGAUCUUCCUUUUGGUGCGGGUUUAGGUUCUUCUGCUUCAUUAUGUGUUGCACUCUCUGGUGCUCUGCUUGCACUGUCAGAUGUUACUAAUUUGGAUCUCAGCUCACAAGGAUGGUUAACAUUUGGUGAAAGCGAGCUCGAUUUAGUAAACAUGUGGGCUUUUGAAGCUGAAAAAAUAAUUCACGGCAAGCCGUCUGGACUAGACAACACUGUGAGCACAUUUGGCAACAUGAUCAUGUUUAAGUCGGGUAAAUUGACCUGCAUCAAGUCUGGUAUGCCACUCAGAAUGCUCAUUACUAACACAAAAGUUGGGAGGAACACAAAAGCAUUAGUUGCUGGUGUUUCUGAGAGGACCUCUAGGCACCCAGAUGCCAUGAAUGCUGUGUUUUCUGCUGUUGAUUACAUCAGCAAAGAACUCUCCACAAUUAUUCAGUCGCCUGUUCAUGAUGACCUGUCUGUAACUAAGAAGGAAGAGAAGAUUGAGGAGCUGAUGGAGAUGAAUCAAGGUCUGCUCCAAUGCAUGGGGGUCAGCCAUGCUUCUAUAGAAACUGUACUUCGAACAACUUUGAAGUACAAAUUGUCUUCUAAGCUGACAGGGGCAGGAGGUGGAGGCUGUGUUUUGACAUUUUUGCCAGCACUUUUAUCAGGGACAGUUGUUGAUAAAGUAAUUGUUGAGCUCGAGUCAUGCGGGUUUCAAUGCUUAAUAGCUGGGAUUGGUGUGAAAGGCCUUGAGAUCUGCUUUGGUGGGUCAUCCUGAUUCCUUUUCCUUUCCAGGGUUGGUGUUGUAUCAAGCCAUUGUCCACAGUAACUGGAGAUCACCUCCAUUGAAUAAACCCCACCUGGGUUGCUGCUGAGUUCCUCAUCAUCAAGCUGGGCUACUGCUGAGCACUACAUCAUCAAGCUGGACCUUUUUCCUCGUCAAAUAAGGUGGACUGCACCUCUGUUUUGGAGGACUUCGGCUUCUCCAUUUCUUCUCAGAUCGGGACAGCAAGAAGGUUCAGCAUCAACUAUUUGUUCAGUUGACUGUUAAGAGUACUUCACCAUAUUAUACUUUGACUUCAUCUUAGAUCUAUUAUUUUCUGAUACACCAUUGUUCAGUUGACUUGGACGAUAUUAAAGUUUUCUUGUUAUGUAUUAUUUGGCUUGAAACAUGUGUAUCGCUUCUGCAAGUAUGAAGAAAACUUGUAAGCUAUAUAAAGGGUGUUUUUAUUAUGUCUUAGGGUCAGCUUAGAAUGAAAAAAGUUGUUGCUUUCCUUCU